ensembl:lncRNA
UAAGCGAAAUGAUCUGCUAAUAGAACGAGAUCAGAAUUUUAAUGAGUAAAAAUGUUUCGGAAUAAGCUCAUAAUAAGAAAUGACCCGUUCGUUUCAUUUAACUGCACUUUUUAAGAAAUAUUUAAUGUUUUGAGGGUCACGGGGGAACCUGGAGUCUAUCCCAGGGAGCAUGGGGCACGAGGCGGGAUACACCCUGGACAGGGUGCCAAUCCAUCGCAGGGCACAAUCACAUACACACUCACACACCCAUUCAUACACUACGGACACUUUGGACACGCCAAUCAGACUACCGUGCGUGUGUUUGGACUGGAAACCGGAGUACCCGGAGGAAACCCCCGCAGCACGGGGAGAACAUGCGGACUCCGCACACACAGGGCCACGGUGGGAAUCGAACCCCCGACCCUGGAGGUGUGAGGCGAACGUGCAAACCACUAAUCCACCGUGCGCCCCACUGCUAUUUAUUAUACAGCAUAAAUUGUUUUGAAUACAUAGAAUUACCUGAUGAGUGAUUCUUCAGUAAGCUACCACUACACACAUUACAUACACAUAUUAUAAAACCACAUGGCUGUACACGGUGUGUGUGUGUGUGUGUGUGUGUGUGUGUGUGUGUGUGUGUGUGUGUGGAGGUGUUGGAGGUCAGAUGGAAAAUUGAAUCUUCAGGUUACAUUGCCACUCUUUACACAGAUAUCUUCCCAAGGUUCUCACGGUUACCGUUUGUUUACCGAGCUUUACUCACACGGACACGAGUAACACUCAAAAUUCCUCCGUGAUCUCCCACUCGAGGUUUACGACUACUUUAAGUUUUAGUGAGCGUUCAGGAGAAUGCCGUGUUUAACGUGUAGGUGGCGUGUGAACGGAUUCUAACACCUCUACAAUCUAAUUCCCAGUGGGAAAAGUGUGCCUGUCUGCUGUGUCUUCCUGUCCUUUUGUUUCAGGGACAGGUUUCGGAUCCAACGCGACACGGACGGGGAUAAAGCGCUUACUGAAGCGGACUGAGUGAAUAAAUAUAUAAAAACGUGAACGUGUACGUAAAGUGAAAAGUGUCGCGCACCACGGUGUGAUGUAAGAGUACUUGGCCUUGUUUAUGAUAAACAUGUUUGUUUAUUUAUCCUCUAUUAAAACGAGACGAAUCACUCGCAACAUUGUGCCAUUUAUGGCAUUUCAUUUAAUAUUACCUGAAUAAUUCAUCCAUCCAUCCAUUUUCUGUACCGCUUAUCCUACACAGGGUCGCAGGGAGCCUGGAUCCUACCCCAGGGGACACGGGGCACGAGGUAGGGGGUUUAACCUGGACGGGGUGCCAAUCCAUCGCAGCGCACACUCACACUCGCACACCCAUUCAUACACUACGGACGAUUUGGAAACAUCAAUCAGCCCACAACGCACGUCUUUGGACUGGGGGAGGAAACCGGAGUACCCUGAGGAAACCCGAAAGCAUGAGGGGAACGUGUGAAUUCUGCGCACACCGGGCGGAGGUGGGAAUCGAACCGCCGACCCCGGACGUGCGAGACAAACGUGUUAACCACGUGUCCGAAUAAUCCUUAUUAAUUAUUAAUAAGUAUAAUUAUUAAUCAAUUAUUUCUUAUAAGAAUUCUAAUUCUACUACGUAAUACGUACCUUUCUGUGUCAUAGGUUUGGGAAUAAGUCACCGAACGUUCCCUGGAAGAUGAAGUGGAAACCUGGUGCUGUUUCUGAUUAUACGUCCCGAUCGCGUCGGUGUUUUCACAACAAAGCAGGGUGAUAAUUAAAUUCCUAACCCGAGCAGGGAUUUGUUUUGGGUUCAGGUCACGGUUUAGACUCUACCAUCGGAUUUCUCACAGCGUGCACGUCGUACAGUUUUAGGAACUUGGGACGUGAAGAUACGGUGGGGUCCAGACGUCUGGGAGAACGGACGUUUUUAAAUGCAUUUUUUUAGUCAGAAUUAAGAUUUUUAAAAUAAAUGUGUAUUUUUUUCCCUCGAUAUCUUGAAUAUUUUAUAUAUCAAGACUCUGCAGUAUUUCCAGUUUCCUAUUUAAAUGCAUACAACUGUGUGAUAAUGACCAUGUCGACUGUCUUGUACAACAGAUCAGAUUUCCCUCGUGUCUAACCUCUUCUGUUGAAACGUGUGAUCAGACGACACGCCGAUGGAUUUGAUCUAAAAUCGGCCUCGUGGAGUCCGUGCCAGCUCGAGUGCACACCCUCGUUAAAGCAAUAGAGAGGGACGUACAGUACCAGAUAUUAAGAAAUAUUUCAAAGACUCUACUUUCCACUCAGGUUGAUGUCAAUAAUAUCAUUCGCAAUGAAAACGGUUGCAUUUAUUUAGAAAAGAACGCGAAGUAGAAGCAUUUUCGCUGGCGCUCUCGGACUCGUAGACCGUGGAGCCUAUUUCUAGACGUGUUUACUCAGAAUUGAAUGCCAUCGACCAAUAGAACAAGACGAUUUGAAGCUUGAAACAAUAAUAAAGGGAAAUAUUAGUUGAACUGAAGAUAUUUUCGCCAUGGUCAUGCAGCAGAUGAAUUUCUGCUUCAGUCGGUAGGACCAUGUGUUUAAAAAAAAAAAAAAAAAAAACAUUUUUUAAAUCAUGAAAUCAUCCAGAAAAUUCUUUUUGUCAGUUGUGCUGCUCCACCUGUGAUAAAAACAUGCUUCAGUCAUCGCUCGUUGGCUUAAAACAGGUCUCUAAAAAUGGCAAGCGUUUAUCAAAUCAGUAAUGUUUUAUAAGAGAAGCUCCACCCCAACCGUUCCUGGUCCACUAAUAAGGUCAGGGACUAAAAACGGUUUCUGGAACUACACUGCAAAUGAUAUCCUAGCCAAAUCUGGGCAAAUUCUACUAAUAUUUCUUUUUAUUCGAUUGUUUUUAAACCUAUAUAAGAUUACGAGCUUAUUUUUAGACAGUUUUACUCAUUACCCAUCACCCAUUUUGCUUAUUUCAAGCGUUUAUUUCUAGAAAGACGCAAAAUUAGCUGUCAAUACCGAGCGUCCCAAAUGUCUCCAUAUGUGAGGCCUUGUGAACCGGGAACCACGUCGGUUGUGCCUCCGUCAGUGGACGUCGGUGGACGUCCACCGUCUCGGUCGGGCCGCAAGACUCCCAGUCUUUUUGAGUUUGUCGAUAAGUUUGGCGACCGUGUCGUGUGUGAUGUGCUCGCCGUGUUUCCUGUUAAAGUCCAUCGCGACUUUGCGGGAGCUUCCCGAUCCGGCCGUGGGAAUGAUUUCAGUUCGUUCUUCUUGUGUCAAAGGCGUUCUUAAAGGAGGCUAUCCGGGGGGGAAAUUAGAUAUACAAUAUAAACUAAGUAUGAAAAAUUUCGUGAGACGUUUUUCUAAAAAGUGUUCAUUUCCUGUAUGUGUGGAGACUUUUGGGAACCCUGUAGAAUGGUAAAUGGUCUGCACUCAUAUAGCGCUUUUAUCCAAAGCACUUUACACUGUGUCUCAUUCACCCAUUCUCACACACACACACACACAUACACACACCAGUGGUAGCAGAGCUGCCACGCAAGGCGCUAACUUGCCAUCGGGAGCAACUUGGGGUUCAGUGUCUUGCCCAAGGACACUUCGGUAUGUGGAGUCACGCGGGCGGGGAAUCGAACCGCCAACCCUACGAUUAGCGGACGACCCGCUCUACCACCCGAUCCACAGCCGCCCCUAAUAAGACCAGAAUAAGACCCUGUAGAAUUAUUGAAUAUGUCGAGGAGUAAGGUUAAAGCUUUUAUAAUUGUUAUAUAAUAAUCUGAAUAUUAAUGAGAAGUAUUAGGUAACGUUUCCUUUAUUUAAGACAUCACCACGACAACGGGUUCACGGUGGAUUAGUGGUUAGCGCGUUCGCCUCGCACCUCCGGGGUUGGGGGUUCGAAUCGCACAUCCUCCCUGCACGCGUGGAGCUUGCAUGUUCUCCCUGUGCUUUCGGGGUUUCCUCCGGGUACUCCGGUUUCCUUCCCGGUCCAAAGACGUGCGCUGUAGGCAUGUCGAUUGGCAUUUCCAAACUGUCCGUAGUGUGUGAAUGAAUUGGAACCCCGUCCAGGGUGUCCCCUGCCUCGUGACCCUGUGUAGGAUACGCAGUACAGAAAAUGGAUGGAUCUUUGGCCGCUUUCAGGCAUUUAAAUAUUUCAGAAUCAUUGCUACAGGACAAAGCGGCUUUGGAGCUUUGGAGCCGUGGUCGUGUUGGCAGCAGCGACAACGCCACCACAAGUGACAACUGCAGGAUGAAAAGUAAAUGUAGUAAAGGGUCAAAGGUAGUGCCUUUAAGCCAAACACUUAACCCCUAACCCCUCAGUUUUGUGCAGGGAUUGGAUUCUGCAUCACUUGGAAGGUAUCAUUAUUAUUAAUAAAACCACCUGCCGACUGAUGUAUUAUACUGUAACCUUGGGUGUAGUCUUAAGGCACGCAACAGUUGGAUAUUACUGCAUAUAUGUGGUUAAAUCUGUGACAGACAGGGUGGGAGAGAUCAAUCCGGAUCUUCAUCAUGCCAAUGUUUGUUAAAUGUCAAUGGAAUAUUUACUUAAAAGUCCAGAAAUGUUGAAGAGUAGCCAGGGAUUAAGGUUCUUUGCUCAGCCUUAUCAGAACUGACCUCGGAUAAGGGUUAUGUGUCCAUUGACUCCGCAUUAUAAAGAUAUCACCGCUCGAACCCUAUCAACCCCGUCCUUCUAGUUUUAACAAUAUUUUCACUUCUUAUAUUUCGCCACACCUGCUGCGACGUGGCCGUUCAAAACGCAGCGCCUUGGGCCAGAGAAAACAAAAAAGAAUCGGAAAAAAACAAUGCACAGAAUAUCGCUUUCUAAGGCCUGACUUAUCACCUGCUUCAUGUUGCUGCUGGAAUUGCAUAUUGCGUGUGUGCGUGUGUGCGUGUGUGUAUAAAAGCCAGUGUAUGUGAAGAAUGUGUAAUUCCUAUAAUCCGGGGGUUUCUGAGGUCACCGGCUCAUUAUUUAUAUUCAGUCAUUUAACAGAAGCUUUUUAUCCAAAGUGACAAUCCAACCCAUGUACAUGCUCGAGUUUCUAUUGACUGGUGUAAGAUGAGUGUAAGAGUCAUAAUAAAGCAUGAAGCGUGGUGUACGUGCACGUAGGACAAUGCUGAUACGUGAUCUAUGAAAGGAAUAAUUGACUUGGGCGCGUGCUGUUAUGGGAAAAUAAUCAAGGACAGGAUGGGGCGAUGUUACGACGGAAGUGGAGUUACGGUUACAUCCCUGAAGGCCACAGAAGUUUUUCAGCGACUACAUUUUUAAAAAAUUUGGAUUUGGAUUAGUUUCUGCAUCAAUUCCCAAAAGUUACUUUGGAUAAAAUUGGGGUUAAAAAACAAAACAAAACAAAACACACACACAGAAAUGAUCUGGAGAUUCUGACUGACUUGGAGAAUGGGCUCAAGUUUGCGAAUUGGUAGCUUUUCAUAUUAAAAGUUAUAAAAACUCUAGUAAGGGGGUGGGUUACCAUUCAUCACUUAUGCUUUCUCUCUCUUUCAGUCUGUUCUAAGUGUGAGAGUCAGAUAAGAGGCUGUUCCCAGAAUGCACACGCACCCUGUUGGGCUGGUGAAGGAUGCGCAGCACUGAUACUGUUCAGAAGAAAAAGGCGAGAUGGUAUCUGCGAGUGGUGUGUUAGUGUGUGACCGGAGUCAGUUGUUUUUAGUUAGGUUUAUAUUGAAACCUUGGCCUUGAAGUUGUCACCUUGGAAAGGAGCUCAUCCUCCUCACUGAAAGUUCUUUCUGUAAGUCAGUGCUGUCAACAAACAGGCUGUGGUGUCUGUGGCUGAACCUCUGUAAGAUAACGAAACACAACUUACACGAACACACAUUCGUGCUCGGUUAGCAUGGCAAAAAAAAUAGCGGUACGAAACCGUGCGCGUGCUCAUAAAGUGCACUGCAAAGGUAUUCACUCCCUUUUGAACAAGAUGGAGUCCACAUGAAAGCGAGAGGGAGUCAAGACAGAGCCCACAUGAAAGCGAGAGGGAGUCAAGAUGGAGUCCAAAUGAAGACGAGAAGGAGUCAAGAUGGAGUCCAAAUGAAGACGAGAGGGAGUCAAGACAGAGUCCAAAUGAACGCGAGAGGGAAUCAAGAUGGAGUCCAAAUGAAGACGAGAGGGAGUCAAGAUGGAGUCCAAAUGAAGACGAGAGGGAGUCAAGACAGAGUCCAAAUGAAAGCGAGAGGGAGUCAAGACGGAGUCCAAAUGAAAGCGAGAGGGAGUCAAGACGGAGUCCAAAUGAAAGCGAGAGGGAGUCAAGAUGGAGUCCAAAUGAAGACGAGAAGGAGUCAAGAUGGAGUCCAAAUGAAGACGAGAGGGAGUCAAGACAG